AUAUUGAUAUACGGGUGCUUGUGUAAUACCAGGCUGAGAACAUACCGUCAAACUCGAACAAGUUAAUACUUGCGUGAGGAUUAUUUGAUAUUGAUGG
rnacentral:ncRNA from 2 species